rnacentral:tRNA from 1 species
UUGAUUAUAGCUCAAAAGUAGAGCGCUAGCCUUCCAUGUUUGACACUCUAGGUUCAAUCCCCAGUAUUGAAG